rnacentral:lncRNA from 1 species
CUUGUUCCUGAGCCGAUCCAAAAUAGUGUUUGUGUAUCGCGUGAUGAUCUUGGCCUGAACCUGCGAUGAAAUGCUUUAAUAAAAAACCGAAGAGCAGUGUAUGUUUCAACGGAAGAUCAACUCGUUUUUUGCUCCCAUGCCCGCUGAGUCCUGCUUGCUUUGCUCGUAUUUGUGGUGUUUUCGUAGUGUUCAUGAGAAAUAUUCAUGCGUAUUCGAGUCGAUGACGUUUCUCUUCGCGCCGAAAAAUGGGUUUGUAGUCACCAGAAUGGGUGUCCAACAGUGGUCAUCGUCGGUCGGAACGAAUGACCAGCGCCAAAUGGUAGCUUGGCGACCCUCCAAACACCGAUGAGGGUUCGCCGUGGUGUUGUUUUUAGUUCGGUGAGGAUGGCGCAAAUUGAGGAAGAAGCGUCGGGAAGAAGAAGAACGCCAAAGGGGAAAUAAAAAAGAACAAGGAAAAAGAAAAACCAGAAAAAAAAAUAGAGAAAAGAAGGCAAAAAUGACUUCAGGAAGGAGGAGUCGCAGAAGGGGAAGGUGCAGGGAAGGGAUGAAGUAAAAAAAAAAAAGAGAAAAAAAAAGGAUAAAGAAUAAAAAGGGAAAAAGCAAAACAAAAAAAAUAGAAAACUAUAAAAAGGUAAAAAUGACUUCGGGAAGGAGGAGUCGCAGAAAGAGAAGCUGGGCUUAGGUUAGUUUAUUGGGUUUAAGGUUAUUUUCGGAGCUGGGCUUAUUUAGGACGUGCUGGAAGUUGUUUUAAAGUGAUCUUAGGGAAAGUGGGCUUAAGUGUUUUCCUUUGAUAAAUUUGGGCUUGAUCUUGGCCCUUUUCCGAAUGGGUUUAAGUCAUCGAACCCACUUCUUCAAUUUGGCUUUUAGUGUUCAUGCCCCAAACUCAUGAAUCCUUAUCUGACCCACAUUUGAAUCGGGCUGAGGGCCCGGCCUGAGUUACUAUUUUCGGAAUAAAAAAAUUGCAAAAAAUAUAUAUUUAAAAAAAAAUUCGAAUGUUUUUAAUUUUAUUUAAAUAAAAAAUAGUUUUUGAACAGUUUUUUCUUAAAAGGUGUGGGAAAAUCAUCGGCCUAAGAUAGUGCAUAAAAUUGAACAAGCCCUUACGGCUUUAUCUUAGGGUCUUAAUUAUCCUCAUAUAUAAUUGCCCUUGAGUGUACGCUUACGAUGAGAUGAUUAUGGUAUCCCCCUUAGCCUAAUUAAGAUUGUCAUUUAUUUAUCUCUUAAUGCUAGGUACUUAUUUUUUCCUACAAUUUAUUUAAUGCUUCCUUUAGUUGUUGAUUGUUAUUUUGAUAAUUGCGCAUCUGCAUAAUCACCUCACAUGUUAGUGGAUAGGUAUAAAAUCAAUCCAAACUGUCUGACAAAAAUAUUUUCUUUUAAAAUGAAUAAGAUCAGGUACCGAAAUGGCACUAAUUGGUCAAUUAGUGUAAUCAAGUUUCUGACCCUAAAUUCUUUGGUUGCGUAGGAGGUGUGGCAUACUCUCGUGCCUCACUUGUUUCUAGCCGACCCCAAUAGAUUAGUGGCGACUCCUCAUUGCAAAAUUUUUAAAAAACACUCCAAUGUCACGGGAGGUAUGGGUUUGGGAGAGUUUGUGCUUAGCCAUGAGCUAGGUCCAUCCUUUAGGCAAUACUUCUAAACCUACUUCCUCCCCGAUGGUAGGUCGCGACAGUAGUUCAUAAAUUACGUGAACUAUCCAAUGGUUGUCUUUGAUUUUAAAUUAGCGGAAUAAUGACAUGGAACAUUUUCUGCAAGUUCAAUGAUCCAAUUGAAUAUACACAAAAAAUUCAAGGCUCAUAUUGUAUAUUGAAUUAAAUUUUAAGGAUUAUAUUAAACAUAUUACAAAUUUAGGGAAUACAUCCGACAUUAGGAUCAAAGAAUUUACCACAAGAAUCUCGCACUUUGUCACGGAACAUUUGAUCGGAAACCCCCAAUCCAUCAAUGCGCACAUGAACCCAUCACGAAUUUAGAAGGCCUCACAAAUUUAGAAAGCCUCUUCUCUUUGCACGAGGUGACAAAUGCUUGGAAUACAAACGAGACCAUAAGUUCGCUCGCGGCAUGGUCUGACCUCUUUCGAGAAUGCGCUAAUGCUACAUAUUAGACAUGGGGAAAUCUCGAGAUCAUUUUUGGGUCGAGGAUCUGAUCCAGGAGCCCGACUCGAUUUGAGAGGCGGGAAGCAAAAAAUAUUCAAAAGCGAAAAACCACGGCCCCCAUUUCCCCAUUUUCCCCCUUCGAUGAUUCUCUCAAAUCGAUUUGCCGAAAUGAGUAGCGUUUUCUCAUGGUCUUCUUCUUUGAUUGUGUGGAUUAGAUUGGCCAUAUGGAAGUACCCCGUGAUCUGGCGGACCUUCCACCAGAGCUGAUCACCGAUAUAUUGGAACGAGUCGCGAAGGAGUUGCUGCUCCGGCCCAGGUGCGUGUCCACACGGUGGCGUCGCUUGAUAGACGAACGUUUCUUCAGUAAGUCGCCUUGUCUACCUCUUCGCCAUGUUUUCCUCGAGCCUCUACCGUAUCGGUCUGCGUCACCCGGAUGACUUUGGGGAGAUUGAGAACCCUCUCGGGUGGGAACGGAUCGUGUUGCUAGGGUCUUGCCAUGGCUUCCUUUGCAUUUAUAAUGAGGACGACGGCCAGGUUACUAUAUGGAAUCUGUUCACUAGGAGUUGUCAGCGCUUGCCACCUGCAGAGGCUGAGAUAGCUCAUAGAUUGGGUCCCUGCUUGCAUUUAUGGAUUUGGGUAUGACGAUAGGAGCGAAGAGUACGUGUUGUUGAAGCUGGUUCAGACCUUGGAGAAUCCAGUUGUAUCUGCAGUUAGCAUUUAUAGACAAAGAGCUAACGCAUGGAGGCAGCUUCAGGAUAUUGCCAUACUCUCUGGUUGAUCUGCGCACAAUGGGGGUUUUUCUGGGCGGCCAUCUGCACUAGAUAAUGAGACGUGACCCGAUGCAGAAUUCGGCAAAAGUGCUGGUGACUUUUGAUAUUCAUACUGAAAACUCCGUGGAGGCACACCAGCUUAGUUUAGGUUUCCAAUGUAUUUGGCUGUCUUGGAGGGCAUCUUUGCUUUAUUACUUAUUAUGAGCAAGAAUGGGGUGUUCGUGCGUGCGAUUAUCAGUGGAUAUUGAUCAGAAGAAUCACGGGAGAGUUUGUUCAGGAUACGUGACUACUUAAUGGAUGGGGUGACUCGUGUCUCAUUAUCUAGUGGAGAACCCCAUUUUGCUUGGCUCAACCAGAAAGUAUGGCAUCCCUGAAGCCGCCUCCAUGUGUUAGCUAUUUUUCUAUAGAUGCUAACUUCAGAUACAAUUGGGCUUCGCAAGGUCUGAAACACCCUUAGCAACACGUACUCUCUAGUCAGUCCAUCAUACUCAAAUUCAUAAACAAAAAGACCCAAUCCACAGGGUAUCUCAACAUCUGCAGGUGGCAAGAGCCUAAAAUCUCGGUCUCCAUAGAGCAAUGUGGUCGUGGUCCACAUUAGAAAUGCAAAUACGUGAUGGCAAGAACCUAGCAAUCGGAUUCAUGGCCACCACUCUUUCUCAUUCACGUCCAUUAGGGAAUCGAUAGAGUAGAGUGUGACAUCUCGAUUCUAUUUUCAAUAAAUUGAGACGGGCAUUUCGUUGGCACGCAUAUAGUUCUUUUCCUUGAGUCGGCCACUCAUGUGAAGACUAGUCUAUCGGCUGAAGUCGUUAAGAAAUUAUAAUGCAUAAGACUCGAGAAUUUGGCCAGGAAACGAUCUUUCGACCGAGCUAAUCUGCAAUGGUCAUUAGGCACAAUUAAAAAUCAAUUAGAGAUCGAAGAUAGGUCGACUCGACAGAGGCAUGUGAUCAGGUGUGGGUGAUUCCACCAGAUCACACGAUUCUUGUCGAUAGGCACUGGACCGACUUUUCUAUCAAUUGGGUACCCUGUGUUCGUAUUUGAAACCUUGAGAUUUCCUCGACAACCGAAAGUCGGCAAUGUUUCAAAGAUGUAUAUUGUGGCUUGAGAUGAUCAACCACAUGUCAAAUGCAUGAAAAUUUCUAAAGGCUACCCGGUAGGUUGGGCCGCGCUAGUAUCGUGCCAAAGUGAAAUUAACCGUGGAAUUAAGAUCGAAUUCAGAAAUUGGAAGUCUGGGCGUGUCGCAAAUCGUUUUAGGAUCAUUAAUUCAUCUUCGGAAGAUUUUUCAUGUAAGCCGAGUUUUUCGGCAAAUUAAUCAAGGUAUGGCUAAUUUGGCUCGAGAAAUUAGUAGGCCCGCUUUUGGUCGCGCUUUUGGGACUUAAGUUGAUUCUAUGGACAAGUGAAGAUGUGAAUUGAAGUGUGGUGAUGUUGGAUUAAUUUUAUGAUCUUCAAUUUGAUUCAAUUAGAAGAGAAUCAUGUGAAAUUGAAUAAUUGGUUGUACAAGAAUUGAACCCCGGUGGAAAAUGGAAUUAAACCCAUUGGAAUAAGGUUGUGGGAGUUUUGAGUGAGUGGAGUAUGACAUCAUGGAUGAUGUCAUGGUGGGCCAUUUUGUGGGAUUAAAGAAAAAAAGAAAAAGAAAAGGGAAUGGUCCCAUCUCUCUCUCUCCCCUCCUUCUCCCUCCUCCCUCUCUUCUUCCUCUCUCCCGUCGCCUCUCUUCUCCAUCUUCUUCUCCUUGCUUCUUCGGAUCCAGCAACCGAAGAAGGCUCGAUCGGAAGCCAGCAACCGCCACCAGCCGAAGCCUCGCCGUUUGUCCGUCACCGCCGCCACCGUGCCGUUCGCUCGCCUCGCCCGCUCGCCCGACCGGCCGAAGACCAGCGAAAGUUGCAGCACCGUCGGAGGAGCUGCUCGCCACCCACGCUCUACUCGCCGUUGCCGGAGUCGCUGUCCUCGCCCCGCGUCGUCUCGCCGCCGAGCUGCCGUCCUUGUGCGCCGCUGCUGGCCGCGCUUCUUGGCGGUCUUCUUGCCAGCUCGUCGUCCCGAGCUGCUGUUCAGUUCGUGCAGGAGCUGCCGGAGCUCCCUCCGGCCACCGUGAGGCCUCGCCUGGCCGCCGCCUCGCCUGUCCAAGCCCUGCCAAUCCUCCUCUGCCGUUCCUCCGCCCGAUCCGCCGCCGUGCAGCCUUUCUCGGCCCCAAAUCAGAGGGCUGGAAAAAUGGGUAUGGCAGCACCUAUUUGGCCCGUUUCGGCCGCCUCCCCGAGCCUGGAUGCUCGGCCCGCCUUGAGGAAAGUCGAUCCCCUCGUCGUCCUCGUCGUUUUGGUCCGCUCGGCUCGCUAAUCCGGUGAGUUUAACUCACUAAAUCUUGAUUAGACGGUUAAUGAUGCCCUAAGUAUGCUUAGCCUAAGUUAAGUAAGCUUAGGUGGUUAAAUUAGCUUAUUUGGUUAGUGAUUAGAUUAUGGUGUUUAAUUAAGUUAAAGUGUGUUUAGUUUAAAGUUAAGUAUGUUUAUUUUUAAUAUAAAGCCUUGGUGUGACAUAAUAGGGUUUUAAUUUUGAAUUAUUUAAUUGCUUCGAAAUUCUGGGAAUUUAUAAUAUUAUAUUAAUUCCGAAAUUAUUAAAAUAUUAUUAUUUAAAAAAAAACGGAAAAAUUAUGUUUGAUCCCGGUUGCUCAGAAUUUCGUGCCAAUCGCUGCUAUGUAGUUGGAUUUUGAAAUUGAUGAUUGGAUAUUAUAAAUUGAGUGUGGAUCGUGAAAAAUAUGAAUAUUAUUAUUUAAUUAUUUUCGGAAUAAAUUUAAUUAUUUAAUAAAUUCCGAAAAUUUUGUCAGGAUCCUAAACUCUCAGAAUUUCGUGCCAAUCGCUGCUGUGCAUUUAGAAUUUAAUAUUGAUGAUUGGUUGUGGCAAAUUGAGUGUGAUUGCGAUAUAUAAGGACUCUUUAUAAAAUCCUAAGUGUGGAAAUGAAUGGGCGAUUGGCCGUGAUAUGCCACCUGAUAGAGGUCGCGCCCAGUGGGGCCGUGAUAUGCCACCUGAUAGAGGUCGCGCCCAGUGGGGCCGUGAUAUGCCACCUGAUAGAGGUCGCGCCCAGUGGGGCCGUGAUAUGCCACCUAUUAGAGGUCGCGCCCAACCGGGCCGUAAUCUACCACCUUUUUUUAAAGGUCGUGCCGAGUGGGGCCGUGAUGCCACUAAUUCAAAUUUGGCCGAGUGGGGCCGUGAUUGAGAGCAAUGAUUGAUCUGCUAGAAUGACAUGUAAUCGGCUGAGUUGAUUGAUCGCUGAGACGAUCCAAGUAGUUGAAUUGUUCUGAUGAUGUGAUUGUGCCGCAGUUGUUUGGUUAUCAUGAUUGCACGUGGUUGAUUUAUAUAAAUUGUGCUAACCUGCAGAUAAAGGCUGAGGCGAGGUAAGUCUUUUGUGUGAUGUGGCUAGGCCACCCGGGGCGUAUUUUCUUUCUAAUAGGGGUUUAGGGGGUUGAACUUGCUGAGACAUCGUCUCAUCCCGGUUGUGGGAUUAAAAUUUCAGGUCCCUGGUGGACGGAGCGACCAGAUAGCUUUGGUUGGCCUUGAGGAGUUGAAGAGGUGAAGUCAUAAGGAUUGGAGAACGUGUCCGACUUGUAGGUCGUAGGACGGUUCUUUUUUUAAGAGCCACUCUUUUGUAGACUUUUGGCUGUAGGCUUCUGUUUGUAAUUCUAUUGAUUUGUGAAAGUGUUAUGUGGUGAUUUUGCUUCCUGCUUUCCUAUCCCGUAUUUUAUUGUCAGGGGUUUUAUAAUACGUUCCGCUUGCGCAAUAAUAAAUGAAUGGGGUCGGCGACACUACCUGGGAAUGUCGCAUUUGAAUGACCAUGGUGGGAUGUUGACGCGCUCGGGGUUCGGGGUGUGACAUAGAGUCUCGGGGGAUCCACGCUGAAGAGGCAGAGGAUCAUGAACCGCUUGAGGUGCGAGUAUAUGAAGAAACAAGUUGCUGCUUCCUAGCAUGCUAUUAAAUGGCUCUUCAUCACGGGUAAGUAAAUCGUACCAAAUGAGAGUCUGAUAGCAAAACUUGACGACGGUUCUAGGAGUGGUGCGAGAUUCGGCAAAAGUGUUGGUGGCUUUUGAUAUUCGUACUAAGAGUUUGGCGGAGGUGGACCUGCCGAAUGUUAUAGACAAUAGGCUUCGCAUGGAUUUGGCCGUCUUGCGAGAGCAUCUUUUCCUUUCCAUUUAUGUUGAGCCAAGGCUGUCGAUGUGUGGAUUAUGAGACGAUAUGGAUCCAACCGACCAGGGGAUCUGUUGUUCUCGCUACAUGACCACUGGUGGAGUUUCCGACCUGUCCGGCCAUUGGCUUACUUCCAGUAUGACCAUCGAGUUUUGGUGGAAGUGGGCAGUGAGACUAAGACUCUCGGUUAGUACAAUGGUACAGAUCAAGCCAAGCAGUUCCAUAUGAACGGCAUGCCAAGCUCCUUUGUAGCAGCAACUUGUUUGUGGUAUUAACGAACUGCCAAGAUAGGGGUAAGUACUUUGUGAAAAGUAGCUAGUUUUUUCGUGUUGAACUAUCUCAGAUUCUUCGUAGACAUACCUUUAAUAACCUGGUUAGCAUAGUGGAUUUUGCUUGAACUGCUUCCUCCUUCUUGCAUGUUUGUGAAAAAUGUUUGUGAAAAUGUGAAGCGAAAGAAAAAAUUUUCCACGGCUUUUGGGAUGGAACGAGGAAAUUGAUGUGAACACGAUGAAUAUCCCACUUAAGGGCAGCUCUUUCUAGAGGAAGAAGAGUUGUUCAAUUGAUGUGAGGGACGAUGGGAUCCUCUCUCUUUUGUGGACAGGAUAACUUUUAGGAAGCCAAUUUACCAAAAAAAAAAAACACUUUUAGGAAGUCAAGGAGAUUGCUAAUGUAGUUUUGUGAUCUAAUUAAUUUGAAAAUAUGGACAAAAAAUGAAGGAGAUGAUUGAGAUAUAAGGGGAACUAAUGUGGUAAUUGGGAACUUGGAAUUGAAGAUUACAUUCCAAAUUAUGUUUCACAAACUCAUAGUUUUUAUUUAUAUUUUUACUGAUGAAAGAAAGAAUAAAGCUGUUUGAAAAGGAGAAUCCCUGUUAUGGAAGGGGAGUUUAUGCAUAAUGCUUAUGAGGAGAACACAUUCACUAAGGUUUCUGUGGAAACAAUAGGUUAGAGAACAUCUAAGAGCUAAAACAGCCAAAAAAGAAAAAGAAAAAGAAAACAUUUUUCAUUGCUCUAAUGCGUAGCGUACCAAUAAAUAGGAAUGAAGUUCCCUUCAUCGCAAUUAAUGUUCCAUUCAACAUGUUAGGUUUGAGACUACGGAAAUUAAGGGAAAAUGAUGUAUGUUAGUCUAUUCUGGUCAUAUUCCAUCCAUCGUACCGUUAUGGCUGCUUAAUGAUAGAUUUAAUUGUCAGUCUGCUUGGUCUAGUAGCAGGGAACUGAUACCUGCCAUUAGUUAUCACUGUUAUAUAAUGUCUGCAAAAUAUUGUCUCUGGUAAAUAUUUUGGUGACUUGGCUUACUCGCACCUCUCAUUUUCACUCUUGUUGUUGAUCUUUUAGUUAAUUAGAAACUGCCUUCCUCUUGUCCACAUAUGACUCCUGAGCUAAUGGAGGCAUGGUUGUGCAAGGGCAGUGAAUUAUCCCUUUGAGCUGUGAUUACUCUGAUAAGUGAAUUUGCUAGAAUAUAACUUAAUCUGGGUUGUCAAUUUCUAAAGCAAGAUUGUCGUGUUUUGGAGGCAGGCAAAAAUUUGUUGUAUCUAACUAAUGUACUUAAGCAUCGGAUAGUGCUUUUCUCUUCUAGGUAAAAUGUCUUAUGAUGACGCAUGCUGUCUUGGCCCAUUUGUAUGACAUGGUCAUGGAGAAAUGAAACGUGAGCAGAAGUUAUAGCUUAACUAGUAUGAUGGCAUUAUGACAAAUGCGAAAACUGCAAUAGAAUUAAAAUUGAGAAGAAUAAAAGACGACACUGAUUUAUGUGGAAAACCUUUGCAGGAAAAACUACGGAAAGAGGAGAAGCAAAAUCCACCAUAAAAAUUCAAGAAUUACAAAAAGUGCCUCGAGAGAAUUGUCAUGUUUGUCUGAUGCUGUCAAUGCAUAUUUGCCAUACUUGUGUUGAAAAAUGUCAAUGUUAGUGGCUUUUUGUUUCUGAACUUCUUUAAGAUGCGGAUUCAACUUCCCAGGAUGACUCUGUUUGCUUAAAGAUGUUGAUAUUUGUGGGUAGACUUACCAACUUGUCACAGAUGAAACUUUCCACUUUUUCUGGCUGCAGUAGUGUAUCUUUGCUUUCUUAUGCUAUGCCCUGAACAAUAUAAGUUUUAUCUAUUACUUCAAUGCGCUAUGUCUUUUUUGGGCUCUCGUUGGAAUCCGAUCCGAGAACCUCUAAGUGGAAAACACGGUUUCUGAGUAUGUUACAAUGGUACCUCAAAUCUAGAUAUAUGAAAUGACCAAUCUUUGUACAUGGUAUGGCAGCAACUGAACUACGGCCAAGUCGUGUGAUGUGGUUGCCGUGACUAUUAUAUUUCGUGAUGCAGACUCUGAGGUCCGAAAACCAUAUGAAAACUGCAGCAUCCCUUUUCACGGUCGAACCUGUUUGUUGGAGCCAACACCUAAUAUAAUAAUAAGAAGCCAAAGAGAAGUGUGCUGCAGCGCCACUUCUUAAACCGCCAAAGAAGAGAAUUCUUGAAGAAGCCACGAGCUGAUCAAGAAAAGGGGGGCACACAUUAUAAGAUAUUAUAGGAGCUUCAAGAAGCAGAAAAGCAAGCUUCAACCGGCUAACUUGAACGUGAAGGAAAAGUUGCAGCCCACAAUUGUUGACUCCUUAGCCAAGAAGAAAAGUUCAACUUCAGCUCUUGCAUGUUGAAGUCAAAGGCGGUAGAGUCCAGGCGGUGGAAGAUGUCUAUAAAUAGGGCUUGGGAGUGCAAACGCAAGGCAGGCCACACGAGCUGAGAGAAGAAGAGAUUAAGACACAGUCUGUCAGAGAGAAACCAAGGUGUGAGCCUCAGGAGGCACUGCAGCCUCAGAGCAAGUUAUCCCUUCGUGAUCGAGAAGGGAGAAUAGAAUAGUUGAGUGUGCUUGAGUGUGAGUCUUUUGUACGUGGUGUGAGAGAGAAAAUAUAUUGUAACAGAUUGUUUAUUUUGAGUGUUAUACUUAUACCGCAAUUUUAGUAUAACCAGUGUCUUGAGUCAUCUAUUACAAUUCUCUCGUGUAACCACCACGCAUAUUUUAUAAGCUGCAUACUCUACAAUUAAUAUUAGAGCAAAGGAUUGCAUAUCCUACAGUUUGGAAAAGCCGUAUUGCAUGGUUUCGUGUAUGAAUCGCCUGCAAAUUUCCUCCGACAAUGAAACUCAAUUAGUUUCUCAGGGAUGAAUGAUAACCAUCUUGUUUCAGAAAUAGGUUCUGGAAGAAAAAUAGAUAUUUCUAUUUCUAUUUCUAGAAGAAUUUCUAAGCAAAAAUAAUCUUUUGAUAAUGAUAUAAUUUUUUUCUUUUCGAAUGGCGGUGGACCGACGAUCGGUGGUGGCAGGCGGACGGUCGUCGAUGGCGACGGAUGAAGGACCGGUUGAUGAACAAUAAAAAGAAUUUUUAUUUCUCAUUUUUAUUCCAGAAAUAGAGAAGUCUGAUUUUUAUUCCAAAUUUAUUUCUGGAAUAAGAAUCUAUUUCAGAAAUAGAAAAAUAAAAUGAGUUUACCAAACGAAUUUCUAUUUUAGAAAUAUGUUUGAAAUAGAAAAAUUAUUUUUGAAAUAGAAACAAAGGUUUGUCAUACACCCCCUUGUUGAAUGCACCCCUCCUAUUUCUUGCAACGGAGACCAACGGAAUGGACAGGUGGAAAUGACGGUCAAAUGGGUGAUGUAGCAGAGAUAGAGGGGCACUUGGAAACAAUGACACGAUAAGUCAGGGUUAAACAAAAAUAAAUCUCGAUUUCAAAUAACUAAGGGACAAGUUUUAGGUUAAAAGUCCUGCCCCUGAUCAUCAUGGGAUCAAGUUUAAUAUUGUUUUAGUUACAAUUGCUCACACUUGAAUGUUUUUCACGCUUAGACUUAAGCCUAAAAUAAAUAGACAAAGGCAAUUUAAAACUCACCAUGUAUAGAACUCCGCACACCAUCGAAAGUGUCACUGUCAGGGCUUCGUCCUUCGUCCUUCGUCCUUCGCGACUGUCCUAUGGAGUCCACCGUGCGGCUACUGUAAAGAAGAAACCCCACGACCUCUCGUGAGCACUCUUUUCGUCGGCACAAAGGGACACGAAAGUCCUUCCGAUAUCGUGCAGUAAUAUGGAAGCAAGAGUCCUUAAUGUCAAAUUGCUGGAUAAUUUAUGGAGAAUGCCACCACCAGAAAAUAACUAAAUAUGUAUAAUAGAAUAUGUGAACUCUUUUACGUGAUAUCUUGAAAUUUGACCCAUUUCGAAAUAUAUGAAAUGAUUAUUUCAUUAAUGCAUUGAUAGUUAAUUUACUCUGAACUGAUCACUUACGAGAGUCUCGCACUUUAUCAUUGAAUGCUCGAUCCAAACCCCCCAGUUCACACACACAAGUACGAACCCAUUGCGGGAGCCUCUCAUUCAGAAAGCCUCUUCUCUUCGCACGAAGUGGCAAAUGCUCGGAAUACAAACCCGAUCAGAGUUUCGAUUGUGACAUGAUCCGACCGACCUCUUUCGAGAACGGUCGUUCGAUCAAAUGGCAAACCUGAUUGGAUAGGACUCUUUAUGGGAAAAGGGGGCACGGUGAUUUAGGAAGAAAAAUUGGGCGUGCGCUGUCCUUCGUUUUCCUCGCCUUCCACGGCAAAAAGCGCGGGAACCGACUCCCGCGCGAAAAAAGGCCAAAUGGAUUGGGCCCCCAAAAAAAGGCUUUAUCAUCUAUGAAAUCCCUAAUUCCACCUCGAACAUCCCGAUCCCGGAAUUGAAUCCCUCCCCCACGAUUGGCUCCUCGAAAAGCCCAUGGAGCUCGACGCCCCCGAUGGCGAGGCGCGCACGGUGGUGUGGCCAGGCCGCCGCCGCUGCCGGAAUCUACUUCGCGAUGGUCAAUCACGGCGUGCUCAGGUCCGGCUUCUGCGACGGUGCCAACUUCGGCUUCGUGCAAUCGCUCGGGCUCCGGUCGGUCAUGUGAGUGCUAUGGCGUUGUUGCGGCGGACGGCUGUUUCUUUCGGCACAGUCUGCCCGGCCGUAGCCGUGUGUAUGUGUGUGUCUUGAAUGUGGCCUGAUUGUGGUCAGUGUUUUUGCGGGGUUGUUGCAAAGUAGGAAAUCUUAAUUGUUGGGGAAUACUGGGUGUAAUGCAAAUGUUGUUUGCUAGUGCUGUCUCUGUGUUAUCAUCUCCAUUUGUUCGUUUGCUGAGUAUAUCGGUUGGACGUUUUGAGGCGUCCAGCGCUUGCCACUCUCAUUUUCUUUGCUGGAAAAAGAGAACGGAUCGGCCAAUUUUCAAAGCCGUCACUUGCAACCACUGUGGUAUCAAUUUAUUAUUGAUUCGUUGAGUGUUUAAUAAUGAUUGAGUAUUCUUGUAAUCAUCCAUUUGUAUGAUAGUAAUUUAGAUUAAAAUAAAUUCAAACUACCUGUAAAGACAUUUUUGAAAAUAAAAAGAAUGAUAUCGAAAGGGUAUUAGAAAAAUCUAGUGUAAUUAAGUUCCCGUAUCCAAAGUCUCUAGUUCGUAGGAGUAAUUUUUUUUUUCCGUUAUUUUAUUUAGGUAUCUAGUCGACCUACCAUAAACUGAUUAGUGACGACUUUUAGAUAAAAUUCAUUUAAAAAAAACUUGAAUCUAAGUCGCGAAUUGAUAUAAAUUUGGAAGAGCCCGAGCUAAGUUUAGACUUAAUAAUCCAUUAGCCAAACCCUAGGUGGUCCAACUCGCUUCGGGAGGUCGCAACAAAGAUGUUUCCUUGUUAUUAGGAUUCUCGAUAGCAUUUCAAUAUGGAAAGACGUUGAUGUUGUUUUCCUUAAUUCCAACUAGCAUUUUGAUGUUGAUUAGCAAUUGUACUCCGACCACUGUGACUAGCUGAUGCUUGGAAGUGAACCAGUUCAUGAGAAUGAGGGCGUUGCUAGUAACUCAAACAAUAUCCAUCACGUUUUGCCUUACCACCAACCUUACGCUUUCAUCCAUAAUUCAACCCUCAAGCUGUCACGCUGAAUGAGUCAAUUUAUGGAGCCGUCCAUUCUAAAAAAGUAACAAUUUAAGAAGAAAAAUUACUAAAAAAUGGAUUCUAGGUCAGGUGGAGUAAAGAUAGCUAAAUUUGUAUUGUCCAUAAAUGAGUCAUUUUGGAUUGGGUCAUUUUCAACUCUAUCCGAUUUCGAUUUGAUCCACUCAUUUGACGAGCCUACUAGUGGGCUACAAACCCAAUUGCUUUGAUUUGCCGCAUUUCUAUUGUUAGCUAGCCAAUCCUCAUAAAUGGCAUAAGCUUAUGACAUUAUUACUUCUAAUCAGUUCGAAACUUUCAAUCUAACAUUUUGUACAGGAAAAAAUAGUUGAAACCCGGGAUUUAUAAUUACAACUCGGAGUAGGAGGAGCACUCACGUAGAACCGGAUGCAUGAACACUUACUAUUGAAAUUCACGGCUGCUCUCAAAAGAGAAGAGGGUCACAUAGCCUAACUUAAAGAGUCGAGCUUUAUUAUUUCCCUUCAUAAAUUUGGUAUUUAUUUGCUGGUUAGCACAGUUUUGCGAUGGGAGAUGUGAAAAUGUAUUAUUAAGCUCCAAAUUCUUCUCACUUCCCAACGCUAUCACAGUUAUGGUCUACGUUCAUAUCUAAUCUGUUGAAUUGAACGGAUCAAGAUAUGGCGUAUAAAGCAGGAAGCAAGUGUUUUUAACAUUCACUUGUAAGCAAAUAUCUUGUUCUGUCGAAGUACAAUCCUGGAUCUAGCAUUAAUGCUGCGGUGCGUAUCUGCUUUUCUCAGUCUAUGAUCUAACCAAUGGAUUUUCCACUUUCGGACAAGAAAUUCUUGGCAGAUCAACGAGCCUUGUGCACUUUCGAGUUAAGUUGAGCUUGUUAACCUGACUUGACAUUUACAUUCAAACUAGGAAGUCUGACGUUCGGAAACUUCACAGGUUAGACAUAGGCGUCAUCAUCGCAGAUCAUCGGAUAAAUUAGUGAUGGUUCAUCUCUCAUCAACCCUUUGUCGGUAUUUCUGCACAGGUCAUCGCCAAUUGUGCUGCUCGGCAUCCGUUCGCUUCUUCUGACAGGAAUGAGACCGAUACGAACCCAAGUUCGCAUUUUACUUGUGCUGGAGUUGGAAGAACGAUAACCCAACUGCGAGCAGUCAAAGGAAUGAUCGGAGUACCCAUCCUUCCAGCUCGAAUGGUCAACUUAUCGAAGAAAAUAGUAGGAUUGAAUCAGGAAGGAUGCACGUCCGUAUAUUAUGCUGAACUGUUAGGCAUCAGAUAACGGUAGAAUGUGAUUUUAAUGUUAAGUCUUUUAACUUCUAUUUUGGAAAAAGGAGAAUUGUUCCUAGCUUCCCAAAAAGGUUUAGUUAAUCAUCAUUAUAAGCGAAGCGAUAGGCUCUACUAUGGGCCGGGGCGAAAUCAGACGGGGCCUGCAGUGCUUCCUUGUAAGUUGUCUCCAUUUAUGACUUUGUGGUAUUUGCGCUUUCAAUCCUAUUGCGCAGUGCAUUAGCAGUUCGAUUCGGGAUGACGAAGAAAGCAAAACAGUAGCAUACAAAGCCCCAUCGAGUCGCCAAUUCUCCCCCGCUCGAGACUGUCGUUCCGCAUCAAUAAUUCUAUCAUACGAUCACGACACUACCCAAUUCCUAAAAAUGUCUGGUACUCCGGGCAUCACAAGCCGUAUCCGGACCUUUUUUGGGGCGCAUCCUGACAGAACUCAUGUGGGAAAAGCAAAGGACCCUUAUGGAAAAGAGGUCGACUGGGCAACUUGUGAUUCACGCUUCUUUCAGGGAAAAUGAUCAUCUUUUUGGCGAGUGUUGGGAGGUCGAGAUCUGUGUUGUUGACCAGGACUUGCCGAGGAGGAAAGGGAAAGUGUAAGGAAUCUCGUUGCCGACGCAUCAUCCACCAACGUUGAAAAACACAGCACGCCAGUCACUUUCGAAAGGUCCCGAUAUAAACGAACUAAUAGCAGAGCCUCCUUUCCGAGCGGGGUAGGCGUACUCCUGGAAAGACAAGGGACGAGCAUUUGUCACGAUCUCAAGUCGAUAUGCUCGACAGCCAAGCAGUUCCAAAGGUACAACCGUGUCGCGGUGGCUCGUCCUCAGGACGCCCGGGCUUUACUAGCCCGGUCGAAUUUCCCCCAUCAACAGCUCAUGCAUGUCAUGGAGUUGGCAGAUGAGCGCGGAACUUUCGCAUCCGCAGGCACAAUACCCUUUUGGCCUGGCAAGCAGCUUGGCCGGGAUCGAGGUGGACGGAUUUUACACUCUCUCCAUGAUAAUGAUUGUUCUCAUGUCGAUCCAAUAAAAUUGAAUAGAACUGAUUUGAAAUCAAUCAACCGAUAGAAUGUGAGAUUUUGUAAGAUUACUGUAAACUUUUCUAAGAGCUUAUAAUAUUUAAAAUAAUAAAACAUACUUUUAUCUAACAACUUAAAACCUCACAAAAUCUCUCAUACUAUUGGAGCUGAAGCUCAAUUCAAAUCUUUUCGAACCAUUAAUCCAGUUCAAUUCCCUUUUGAACUUUUCGGUUUGAUUUGGUGCCGAGACGGUCGAAACCAAGUCAAGUUAAUUUAUCAAUUUCCUUAGUUUCUAGGAAUCAUCGUUUGAACCAUUUUUACUAUUCACAGCGUCAUCCGUCGCCUAAAGUUUAGUACAAAUUUGACCCCUUCUCUUUCCUUUUUUCCGCCUUUUCCCUUUCCCCAAUUCAGCAAUUUUUUUUCUUUUAUAUAAUUAAAAGGGUAAAGUUGGGUGAUCAAAGUUGCUUUCCCUAAAUUUUAAAGAAAAUGACACAAAUAGUCCUUGAUGCAAUGUAUUUCCUGAACUUCUAAUAUGUUGAAUCCCUAGGCUUUUGAUUCAUAUUUAAGAUAAUUUCUAAAUUAUGUGAAAAUGUUCAAUGUUGUCUCUAAUUUUAGAUCAACAAAAAACAACAUGGAAUAUUUUUCAUAUAUUCAGGGAGUCGAUUGAAUACUUACAAAAAUUUCAAGGCUCACAUUGCAUAUUGAAUUAAAAUUCAAUGGUCAUAUUGGAUGUAUUAAAAGUUUAGAGACUAUAUUGCACAUUAAGACCAUUUUGGGUUAUCGCACAUUAAGACCAUUUUGGGUUAUUAUCCAAAGAAUAUACCAUAAGGGUCUCAAAUUUUCUCAUUGAACAUUUGAUCGGGAACUUGUCACGGGAGCCCCCAUCAAGGUCUCAAGAAUUCCAAAAGCCUCUUCUCUUCGCAUGAGGCGACAAAAUGCUCGGAGUACAAAGCUGAUCAGAGGUUUGCUCGCAGCAUGGUCCGACCUCUUUCGAGAAUGGUAGUUCGAUCGAGCGGUAGACUUUGAUAGGACAGGUCUCUUGGGGGAAAAAGCGGGGCGCGGGAAUUUAGGAAGAAAAAUUGGGCGCGCGCUGUCCUUCGUUUUCCUCGCCGUCCACGGCAAAAAGCGCGGGAGCCCGACUCCCGCGUGAAAAAAGGCCAAACGGAUCGGGCCCCAAAAAAAAGGCUUUUAUCAUCUAUGAAAUCCCUCAUUCCACCACGAACAUCCCGAUCCCGGAAUCGAAUCCCUCUCCCCCCACGAUCGGCUCCUCGAAAAGCCCAUGGAGCUCGAUGCCCCCGACGGCCAGGCUGCCGCCGCCGCCGGAAUCUACUUCGCGAUGGUCGAUCACGGCGUGCUCAGGUCCGGUUUCCGCGACGGCGCCAACUUCGGCUUCGUGCAGUCGCUCGGGCUCCGGUCGGUCAUGUGAGUGCCGUGGCGUUGUUGCGGCGGGCGGCUGUUUGGCGCAGUCUGCCCGGCCGUAGCCGUGUGUAUGCGUGUGUCUUGAAUGUGGCCUGAUUGUGGUCAGUGUUUUUGCGGGGUUGUUGCAAAGUAGGAAAUCUUAAUUGUUGGGGAAUACUGGGUGCAAUGCAAAUGUUGUUUGCUAGUGCUGUCUCUGUGUUAUCAUCUCCAUUUGUUCGUUUGCUGAGUAUAUCGGUUGGACGUUUUGAGGCGUCCAGCGCUUGCCAUUCUCAUUUUCUUUGCUGGAAAAAGAGAACGGAUCGGCCAAUUUUCAAAGCCGUCACUAGCGACCACUGUGGUAUCAAAAAGGGAGAGCAGGAUAGGAUGCAAAGUAGAUAUUCAUUGGCUGGAUGAGCGCAUCAACUUUAUUUGGAGAGCAGUGGAGUUCCCGUAGCCUUACUCAUGAGGGGCCAGCGAAUGGGACCCUCCGGCAUAUUCCGAGGGGUGACGUCAAGAUUCAAGCGCAAGUUUCUCCCUUUCCUGAUGGGAGAAGAAAAGGUGAAUAAGGAGAAAGAGAAGAAAAAGUUAAGAAGGAGGAGGAGAAGAAGUCAAGGUGAGGUUAACUCGCACUGAUACUCCUUUUUCCCCCUUUCCCCCUUCGAUGUUCCUUCUGGAUCAUGGGAAUCAAUUGCCAAAAGAGUAGCGUUUUCUCAUCGUCAUCUUCUUUGUCGCGGUUUGUCUCGAGCUGUAAGGAGGUGAGGUUUUCGAAGAAGCCUGGGGAAUGGAGAGUCCUUUUAUCACCGAGAUACUGAACCGAUUGCCGGUGAAGUCGCUGCUCCAGUGCAGGUGCGUUUGCACACGGUGGCGUUGCUUGAUAGACAGCCGUCCCUUCAUGGAGUCGCACCUGAAUCGGUCGAUCGAGUCAAGCACGAACCUCUGCUUCUGCUGCAGGGGUUCCUCAAGCCUCUACUGUAUCGAUCUGGUUUCCCCGGGUGACGUGGUGGAGAUAGAGUACCCUCUCAGGUGGAAGCGGAUCAAGGCGCUAGGGUCUUGCCGUGGGUUACUUUGCAUUUCUAAACCGGAUGUCCGCGACGUUGCUAUUUGGAAUCCCUUCAUUAGGAGGCAUAAGUUCUUGCCUCCUACAGAUACUCAGAUAGGCGGUGGAUUGUAUCCCUCUGCUUGCGUUCAUGGAUUUGGUUAUGAUGAUGAGAAUGAUGAUUAUGUGUUGUUGAGGCUGAUUCAGACCUUUGAAGAACCAAUUGAAUCUGUGGUUAGUAUCUAUAGUUUGAGAGCUAACGAGUGGAGGCAGCUCCAGGAGAUGCCAUACUAUCUGGUCUCGACACGCAAAAUGAUGGGGGUUUUUGUGCACGGCCGUCUGCACUGGUUGAUGAAACGCGAGCUGGUGCCAAACUCGGCAAAAGUGUUGGUGGCUUUUGAUUUUCGUAUUGAGGAAUUUGUGGAGGUGCACCAGCUUAAUUUUAUAGAUAAUAGGCUUGACAUCGAUUUGGCCGUCCUCGGACGGUGUCUUUGCCUUAUUGUUUAUGGUGAGCGAAGGGGUGUCGAUGUGUGGAUUAUGAGAGACUAUGGAUUGAACAGACCAUGGGAUAUGUUGUUCUCAAUGCCUAACCACUCAAGGCCUUUGGGACUUGUCCGGCCAUUGGCUUACUCCCAGAAUGGUCGUGAAGUUCUGGUGAGAGUCGGCACUGAGACUCUCCGUUGGCAUGAUUUACCAACAGGGCAUGACCGGAGAUUCGAUAUAAUUGCCAUGCCAUUCUUGGAAGCAGAAAUUUGUUUGCAAACCCUUGUUCCGGUCGAUUGAUUAUGGAUGAACUGCCGAGAUGAGGAGGUAAGUACUUCGUGAAAAGUAGCUAGUUCUUUUGUGUUGGACUGUCUCAGAUUCUUCGCGGAUGGACCUUUAAUAACCUGGUUAGUGUAGUGGAUUUUGCUUGAACUGCUUCCUUCCUCUUACAUGUUUUCGAAAAUGUGAAGUGAAAGAAACUUUUUUCCACGGCUUUUGGAUGGAACAAGGAAACUUAUAUGAAAACGAUGAAUAUCCUAAUUAAGGGAUAGCUCUUUCUAGGGGAACAAGAGUUGUUGAAUUGCUGCGAGGAAUGAUCGGAUCCUCUCUCUUUUUGUGGAUGGGAUAACUUUUGGGAAGUCGAGGAGACUACUAAAUUGGUUUUGUGAUCUCGAAUAGAGGAGAUGAUUGAGAAAUAAGGGGAACUAAUGUGGGAAUUGGGAACUUGGAAUUGAAGAUUAUGUGCCAAAUCAUGUUUUGCAAAACAAAAUAGUUGUAGGGUGCUUCUUUAUUUUUAAUUUUUUUAUCCAUAUUUUUGCUGAUGAAAGAAAAAAUAAAUCUGUCUGAAACAUGCUAUAGGAGAGAAGUUUAUGUAUAAUGCAUAUGAAGAAAACACAUUCACUAAGGUUUCUAUGGAAACAAUUGAUUGUGAUGGAGCAUUUAUAUUGUGAAACUAAUGAGAGAGACGAUAAAAAUAGAGUUAGUUUUGUGGGUUAGCCUGAUAAAAAAAGAAACGAUAAUUUGAAGAGAGAGAGAGAAAGAGGGAGGGAGGGAGAGAGGGAGAGGGUAUUUUGGUUAGUUAAGUGAAAAAAUGGGUGUCUUAGCCAAAAUGGGGGUGGAGAUAGGGCCGCCCAUAAAAUGACACAGAUUUAUGUGGAAAAUUCUUGUGGGAAAAACUACGGGGAGAGAAUUUACAGAAGGUGGAUAACAAAAAAACCUUAAGACUUUUUUUGUUUCUAAUUCAAACCUAAUAACUUCAGACAUAAUUUAACACUAAAUUAUUACUUCUAACUAUAUCUAAAAGAGUGAUGCAUUUAGUAGUUUUUGAAACUUUCAACAUAAGACAUUUGUUUUCCUUCCCAAUUCAUGAUAUAUUCAAUGCGUCUAAGAUUGUCCUUUAGUAAGUGAAAAAUAUAUUUGAAAACAAUUGAUAAUUGCUGUUGUGUGCCUGAGGGCUUGCCCUGACAAUUAAUUGGUUUUUCCAGGUACCGUGUACUACUUAGCUCAGGAAAUGCAACAGGAGAAGGGAAGCUUUUUCUCCCAGUUUUUAGAUUCAUUGCUCAACUUUCGAUGACAUGGACCGAUGUACGACGUGGACCGAUGUAUCGACGUAUCGACGGGAAAGGUUGGUAACAAAAUGGAUGGAUCAAAAAUAGCUAUCCGACCUGCAAAGCUUACCUUUCAGCCUGUAAGUAGAGAGUACUUUUUUCUUUCCAUGAAGAACAAACUGCUAUCAACAGAUGUAACACAAAGAAGAACUAAUUAGCACAAGUAAGGAAAGCUACUAUCAGACAAGCCCGCUGACAAGAACCACAUAACUUGCAAUUCAAGCUAGGGAUUGCAAUAUUCCUUAAAUAUCGCAUAAUAAGUCGACCCAGUUGAUCUGCUCCUUCAAGUCAUUAGACCCAUACUUCAAUUUGCCCAUGACCAACAACACCUUAGUGAGAUUUUCAUCGAAGGAUGACAUGCCAUCCUUCAAUUGAGUCCUCUUGGCACGAGAUUUUUUUCUCGAGCCUUUUCUCCAACAACAGUAAUACCAAUAACUUCUGAUUCUGAUAUUCUCUCAACCACUUGAUAUGCACUACCAACUCUCUCAAUCACGCUCCUACAACUUGAUCUAAAUAUAUUUGUCAUAGGCAGGCACGUGAGAUCAUGAACUGUGGCACUUAGGUUCUGAAUGACUCAUGCACCCCUUACUAUAGUCGUCUAAGCUCAGCCUUACCCUGAACUAUUGCUCACUCACUCACUUGGCCCAUCUAGAAUUGUACAAAGAAACUUUAGAGGGACAAGUGUGGAAAAAUUCAAAGAAACCUCAGAAAAGGAAGAAAGGGGAAAACGAGGAAGAAAUAAAUGUAGAAGUAGAAACUAACUUUCGAAACGAAGGGGAUUAAACAGGAACAAGAGGCAUCCACCGAAGAUGUUGAAUCGAUAGUUGCUCUUGUAUCUCAAAUUCCAAUCAGCUAGCUUGACUUUGACAUCAUUACCACCACCUCUAGGAAUAAUCGAUGUUCUGGAACUCUGGAACUCAACACGGAUGUGAUGCUGGAGGAGGAAAAAAUGUGAAAAUUUGGAUUCUGCAACAUUCUCCCCAAGAAUACUUGAAUGUCUUCAGUUGAAAAUUACAAUUGACUGCGUUAGUGGCAAAGUUUGGGGUUACAAACAUGCUCCAGAUGGAUGGAUUAUAGGUCCUUGAAAGAUUUUUUGUUAACACUGAUUGUCACAAGUUGAUGUAGAGUGGAUGAGCAGAGCCUUCUUCUGUAAAUGACAUUUUUGUGGAACCCAAGAGCAAUCACGAUCGGUGGAGAAAGGUUCCAUUCAUGCUAAUAGCAUAUGCUUUGCAGGCUUUUAUUAAUCAAAGUGCCAAAAUAAAAAUAAGCUACUCCCAUAUUUGUCUUCCAAGAGCAAAAGGUGACUUGUAAGCUUUGUGGAGAGAAGCAUGGGUAACCAUCUGAAGAAGCUUUGUAUCGAUUCUAAUCUCUUCAAUAAGACAUUAUUGGGUCUCUGGUCAGAGUUAUAGAUCGAAUGGAAUAACUGGGAGAGGGAAGAUUCCUACAUCUGGUUUGAAAGUGACUACUGAGUGUUGCCAUCCUGGUAUGUUAUGCUAGGAAAUUUGCUUUUGAUCCAGUUCAGUGGCAAUGUACCACACAUAAAAGUUGCUGCAGCCAUUUUUUAUGAUAGUGCCUGGAACAGUAUUAGAACGAAGCAUCUAUUGUGGCCUGCCCAUGCCAAUCUAGCUAAAUCCAAAUCCAUUUGAAGCAUUGUUCUAUGACAAGCUCUGUUAAACAUCCCAUGCCCACUGGAUUGAAGGCACUCUCAUUGCCUGAGUGAGGAAUUUCUUGCGAUGUUGUUGAUUAAUGGGAGGGUUUUUUUCUGACGAAUCGGGAGUCAAUUCUUCUCCAAGGAAAGAGUCCCCUUAUGAGGCAUCGUUCCCUAACAAGUGUUAACGAGUCCAUACCCAAUGGUUUGAAGGCACUCUAAUUGCCCACCAAUCUCGUUAAAUCCAAAUCCAUGUGAAGCAUCAUUCUAUAAGAAACUCUAUUAAACAUUCCAUACCCAAUGGGUUGGAGGCACUCUUUGCCUGAGAAUGAGGAAUUUUGUGCAAUGUUGUUGAUCAAUGGGAGGGUUUUUUUUCUGAUGAAUCAGGAGUCAGUUCUUCUCCAAGGAAAGAGUCCCCUUAUGAAGCAUUGUUCCGUAACAAGUGUUAAACAGUCUUACACAAUGGGUUGAAGGCACUCUAGUUGCCUGCCAUUCUAGUUAAUUCCAAAUUUAUGUGAAGCAUUGUUCUAUAACAAGCUCUGUUAAACAUUCCAUAACCAAUGGGUUGAAGGCACUCUCAUUGCCUGAGAGUGAGGAAUUUCGUGCACUGUUGUUGAUCAAUGGGAGGGUUUUUCUUGACGAAUCAGAAGUCAGUUCUUCUCCAAGGAAAGAGUCCCCAUAUGAAGCAUUGUUCUAUAACGAGCGUUACACAGUCUAUACCCAAUGGGUUGAAGGCACUCUAGUUGCCUGCCAUUCUAGUUAAAUCCAAAUCCAUGCGAAGCAUUGUUCUAUAAAAAGCUCUGUUAAACAUUCCAUGCCCAAUGGGUUGAAGGCACUCUCAUUGCCUGAAUGAGGAAUUUCGUGCAAUGUUGUUGAUCAAUGGGAGGGUUUUUUUCCUUUUUCUGACGAAUCAGGAGUCGGUUCUUCUCCAAGGAAAAAGUCCCCUUAUGAAGCAUUGUUCCAUAACAAGUGUUAAACAGUUCAUACCCAAUGGGUUGAAUGCACUCUAAUUGCCCGGGAGUCAGGAAUGUCAUGCAAUGUUGCUGAUCAAUGGGAGUUUUUUCUGACAAAUCGAGAGUCAGUUCUCCAAGAAAAGAGUCCCUUUAUGACCUCAAUUUUUGCAGCAUCUUUCUUUUGCUGCUGAGUAAACCACGGAGCUUGUUUUCCAGGUGAUGCUUCUGAGCCAUUAUCGCUUAAGCAAUCAGUAUUUCACAGAAUAUUAAUGUUUCAUAUGGACAGAUUGAAGGUCGUGGGUGAAUACUUUUUUCUCCCUUAAAUGGUCCGGUCAGAAUGGGGGCUUGAGCAGCUCAUUUUAUGCAAUCUUUGGCCUUGGUUAUGUCGGCUUCUAAAAUGUUAAUUAUGGAGGCUGGUAGUUGCCGGCCUGUUGCAUCUGCUUAUUUGCUCUAUCUUAUUGAACGUAUAUGCAGGAGCACGGUGAAAUUACUGUUCCUUCUCUUGUGGACAAGUUAGAGUUCUUUAGCCUGUCGCGUCUUCUUCUCCGUUGUGAUUGAACAGGGGAGCAGCACCAGAAGACUUGUAGUUGACUUAACAUCAUGGCUCUUGUUGCAGGUCGAAUUACGUUGACGGUCUUUUUAAGUCGUCCAGAGACCUACCAUCUUAUUCUUUUUCCCCUGGAAAUCUGCUUCCUUCAUGGUACAAGUGGGGUACGAUUGUCCGAUCUGACUCCUAGAACAAGACGUCAUCUAGACGUGACUGGUGCUUCUGUCCGAGAUGUGUCACCUCGGUAUUUUUUUGGUCCAGAUACUUAGGCCAAGAUGUCAUUGAUGUUCCUGUCCAAGAUGUGAUUCGGUGGUGAUAAGGUUGGAUGAUUCAUCGUCAUCGACGCGGUUUCCAAGAAAAUCUUGACUGUCACUGUGGAGUUUAUAAUGGAAUGAGAAUACAAGCCCAUAUAUAGAGCAAGAGUGAACAAUAAACCCUAGCUACAUAGAUCCUAACAUUAUACUAUAUAUUAUUUAACAAGAAGUUACAGAAAGAAGAGCUAAUUAGCAUAAAUAAGGAAACCUACUAUAAGACACGAGUCCGCUGACAAGAACCGUACAACUUGAAAUUCAAACUAUGGAUGGCAAUAUCCCUUGAAUAUAGCAUAAUAAGUUGACCUCGUUGAUCAGCUCCUUCAGGUCCUUGAACCCAUGCUUCAAUUUGCCCACGGCCAAAAACACAUUGGUGAGAUUUUCGUCCAAGGAGGACGUGACCUCCCUCAAUUAUCUUGGCCAAAGACUCCUCUUGAGCCUUUUCUUUAACAACAGCAGUUGGGGUAACAUCUGAUUCCGCCAUUCUCUCAAUCCCUUGAUAUACGCUAGCAACUCUCUUAACCAUACUCUCUACAAUUCGAUCUAAUACCUUUUGUUGAAUUGAACAGGUCAAGAUAUGGUGCAUAAAAGUGGAAGCAAGUCUUCUUGGCAUUUACAGGAAAGCAAAUAUUUGUUCUGUCAAGUACUAUCCUGCAUCUAGCGCUCAAUGUUGUGUGUAUCUGCUUUUCUCACUCUAUGAAUUGACCAAUGGAUUCCCCUUUGGGACAUGAAAUUAUGGACAGAUCAACCAGCCCAGUGCAUGUUUGAGCUAAGCUUGUUUACCUGUCUUGACAUUUACCUUAAAACAUGCUCAAUACAGUAUCUUGAUCUUUAAUGCAACUGAGAAGUCCGACAUUUGGAAGCUCCACUGGUUGGACAUAUGCGUCAUCAUCGUAGGUCAUCCGAGAUAUGGGCGAUGGCUCAUCUCUUAUCGACAUAUCAUCGGUGUUUCUACAUAGGCCAUUGCCAAUCCCGUUGCUUGGCAUCGGUUUGCUUCUUCUGAAAGGAAUGAGACAGAUGAGGACGCAAGUUCGUCUUUUAUUUGUGACGGCUCACGCUCGAAUCGAUGUGCUCGAAUUGUGAUUUCCUAGCACGACUGAAUUUCCCUCCUCAACAGCUCAUGUGUGUCGUGGAGUUGGAAGAUGAGCUUGUAGCUUUCACCUCCACAGGCGCUGUACUCUUUUGCCCUAGCAAGUAGUGUCGGCUGGGACUGAGCAGAGGGGCUUUACACUCUCUCCAUGAUAAUGAUUGUUCUUUUGUCGACCCAAUGAAAUUGAACCAAACCGAUUCGAGAUCAUUCAAUCGAUAAAAUGUGAAAUUUUGUGAAACCAUAACCAACUGUUUUAAAAUCUAAUUCAUCCCACUCUUUCUUUUUUCCCCCUACCUUUUCACGAUUUAGCAAUUUAGUAAAAGAGCGAGAUUGGGUGAUCAGAGCAGCUAUCCCUAAAAUUUAAAGAAAUGACAGAUAAUUGUUGAAUUUUUCUCUAAUGUGUAAUGUAUUUCUUGAAUUUCUAAUUUAUUCAAUGUGGUUGUAAGGUUAUUUGAUGCAAUAGUUGUUGAUACCUAAAUUUUGGCGAUUUGUUUAAGUGUUUAUUAAUUGCAUUGAAAAAUUAGGGAUUAAUUUCUAAACCCUUAACAAAAAAAAUUCAUUAAAAUCACAUCACAUAUAGACAUUAGGAGCAUUUGCGUCACUAGUUUUAAAAUUUAUCAAAAAAUCUACAAAAAAAAAAAGAAAAAACAAUUUUUACUAAAUUGCAUCGCGUUUUAGCAUUAGGAAUAUUUGCAUCACUAAUGAUAAUUUUUAUUUUAUUUUAUUUUUCCAAAAAGUUUGCUAAUUAAAAAAAGAAAAAAAGAAAAAAGGAGAAGAAGAUCGAAUGAGGCCGAGUAGAGGGCUUUUCUUCGUCCGUGGGCUCGCCGACCUAUCUCUUUUCCUUUUCUCUCUUUUGCACUUGGGCCGGUCCAUCUCCUUUUAUUUCAGCCCAACCCAUGCGUGAGUCUUCUUCCUCCCCUCACACCAACCCCACUCCUGCAAAAGAAAAGGAGAAACUUACAAGCCAAGGGCGAGGCAGAGGAUCGCGAGGUCAGAGGACGGCGUCAUCCCAGGAUCGGAGAUCAAGCGGCCGCGACAGGCUGGCGGUGGCAGAAGGCAUGCGCGCCUGUCAUUGCCCGAGCUUAAAAGGAAGAAAAGCAGCAACAGCAGAGGGGAGCAGGGGAACAGCCGAAUCAGGGGACGAUCGGCUGGAGUUGGUGGUCGCGGAUCAGGACGGCAAGGGCAGCUGGCACGGCAGGAGGCCGGGCGCCGCGGAGAGAAGAAAAGGAGCGGAGGAGGACUCUCAGAAGGGAGCAGGGGCGAAGGACAGAGAGUUGGAGAGAGCUCGAGAGAGUAGAGGGCGAGCCAAAGGGAGAGAGUGAGACUGAAGGAAGCUUCGCCGUCGCCAGUCGUCCACCCGAGAGCCGUCGUCCGUCGCAGCGCUCCCCUUCGAAACAGGUAGGUCAUUCCCGAGUACGUCUGCCCUUUUUUUUUGGUGGGGGCGUCGGGCUGGAGCUCGUGGUCGACUAGUUCGCACGAGCUUCAGUCUCGAUCCUCGCCCGAAAUUCCGUUGUGCUCGUGUUCAUUCCUCAUACAGCGUAUGUGCUUAUUGUAGUGCUUUAUGCAAAUAUUUGUUUGUGUUUGGUGUUAUGGACUUGUUAUUUUUGUUUAAACUCAAGUUAAAUGCUGAUAAACUUGUUCCUGAGCCGAUCCAAAAUAGUGCUUGUGUAUCGCGUGAUGAUCUUGGCCUGAACCCGAGCCCCGAUGAUCUUGGCCUGAACCCGAGCCCCGAUCGAGUCUAUGCUUACCUCUCUAGUUAGUUAGUGCAUCUUAUGUGUUCAAUGAAAUGCCUUAAUAAAAAACCGAAGAGCAGUGUAUGUUUUAACGCAAGAUUAACUCGUUUUUUGCUCCCAUGCCUGCUGAGUCCUGCUUGCUUUGCUCGUAUUUGUGGUGUUUUCUUAGUGUUAGUGAGAAAUAUUCAUUGCGUAUUCGAGUCGAUGACGUUUUUCUUCGCGCCAAAAAAUGGGUUUGUGGUCACCGGAAUGGGUGUCCAACAGUGGUCAUCGUCGGUCGGAACGAAUGACCGGCGCCAAAUGGUAGCUUGGCGACCCUCCAAACACCGGUGAGGGUUCACCGUGGUGUUGUUUUUAGUUCGGUGAGGAUGGCGCAAAUUGAGGAAGAAGCGUCGGGGAAGAAGAAGAACGCCAAAGGGGAAAUAAAAAAGAACAAGGAAAAAGAAAAAUCAGAAAGAAAAAAAAAUAGAGAAAAGAAGGCAAAAAUGACUUCAGGAGUAGUCGCAGAAGGAGAAGGUGCAGGGAAGGGAUGAAGAAAAAAAAAAGAGAAAAAAAAAGGAUAAAGAAUAAAAAGGAAAAAAGCAAAACAAAAAAAAAAUAGAAAACUAUAAAAAGGUAAAAAUGACUUCAGGAAGGAGGAGUCGCAGAGAGAGAAGCUGCUGUUCAGGGGAUGGGAUGAGACCAACCUGGACUCAAGACGUGGGGGGUCUCGUGUUUGGUUCGGGAGGAAUUAUGUUGUUGGGCUUAGGUUAGUUUAUUGGGUUUACGGUUAUUUUCGUGCCUAAGAAGGAGUUUGUGGAUAUGUCAAGUAAGGGCGCGUUUGGUUGUGUUUCUGUUUAAAAAUUGUUCCAGGGAACAGAAAUAGAAAAAAGUAUUUCUGUUCCGGGGAACAAUUUUUGAACAAAAAUACGCGUUUGGUAAACUUGUUUCGGGA